rnacentral:rRNA from 1 species
GAUGAACGCUGGCGGCAGGCCUAACACAUGCAAGUCGAACGGCAGCACAGAAGAGCUUGCUCUUUGGGUGGCGAGUGGCGGACGGGUGAGUAAUGUCUGGGAAACUGCCCGAUGGAGGGGGAUAACUACUGGAAACGGUAGCUAAUACCGCAUAACGUCGCGAGACCAAAGUGGGGGACCUUCGGGCCUCACACCAUCGGAUGUGCCCAGAUGGGAUUAGCUAGUAGGUGGGGUAAUGGCUCACCUAGGCGACGAUCCCUAGCUGGUCUGAGAGGAUGACCAGCCACACUGGAACGGAGACACGGUCCAGACUCCUACGGGAGGCAGCAGUGGGGAAUAUUGCACAAUGGGCGCAAGCCUGAUGCAGCCAUGCCGCGUGUAUGAAGAAGGCCUUCGGGUUGUAAAGUACUUUCAGCGGGGAGGAAGGCGGUGAGGUUAAUAACCUCGCCGAUUGACGUUACCCGCAGAAGAAGCACCGGCUAACUCCGUGCCAGCAGCCGCCGUAA